UGGGGAAUAUUGCGCAAUGGGGGAAACCCUGACGCAGCAACGCCGCGUGAUUGAAGAAGGCCUUCGGGUUGUAAAGAUCUUUAAUCAGGGACGAAAAUUGACGGUACCUGAAGAAUAAGCUCCGGCUAACUACGUGCCAGCAGCCGCGGUAAUACGUAGGGAGCAAGCGUUAUCCGGAUUUACUGGGUGUAAAGGGCGCGCAGGCGGGCCGGCAAGUUGGAAGUGAAAUCCCGGGGCUUAACUCCGGAACUGCUUUCAAAACUGCUGGUCUUGAGUGAUGGAGAGGCAGGCGGAAUUCCGUGUGUAGCGGUGAAAUGCGUAGAUAUACGGAGGAACACCAGUGGCGAAGGCGGCCUGCUGGACAUUAACUGACGCUGAGGCGCGAAAGCGUGGGGAGCAAACA
rnacentral:rRNA from 1 species